rnacentral:rRNA from 1 species
UACGUAGGGUGCGAGCGUUAAUCGGAAUUACUGGGCGUAAAGCGUGCGCAGGCGGCUUUGCAAGACAGAUGUGAGAUCCCCGGGCUCAACCUGGGAACUGCAUUUGUGACUGCAAGGCUAGAGUACGGCAGAGGGGGAUGGAAUUCCGCGUGUAGCAGUGAAAUGCGUAGAUAUGCGGAGGAACACCAAUGGCGAAGGCAAUCCCCUGGGCCUGUACUGACGCUCAUGCACGAAAGCGUGGGGAGCAAACAGG